rnacentral:lncRNA from 1 species
UCACGUUAUGAUAUCAGGAAACCUUCUAUUUAAACCAGAGUCUUUAGAAGCAUCUUCUUCAUUUGUUGAGGUCUGUGAAGAAGAGCGAACAGAUUCAUUGAUUUUUGAUUUUUCCCAGAGAGAACUUGUUGUUAGUAUUCUUAAUUUGUCUGUGAACUCGAGAGAGAUGAUUAUUUUGGUUGCUUAGUAAUCAACCACUAAGGGGAAGCUGAGAUAUAUAAGUAGUUGUUUUUGUGGAUUGAUUGCUAAUUAGAUCGUUUAGGGUUUCGUUUUGGUGUAUUACUCNN